rnacentral:lncRNA from 1 species
CUUCCUGCUUCCUUGUGUUUUGGAGCCCUUUUCUGCCCUCAGAUUUAUUUUUAUUUUUAGCAUGUAUGCAGAUAGUCAUGCUGGUCUUCCUUUCAUGAUUGUGUCAAAAUAGAGCCUGCUGUCCAAGCAGUUGCUCUCAUUCCCACUCCUAGAUCACUGCCCUUCCUCAAUUUAAAAGAAGUACUAACUAAUGUGAAAGUGAAGUGUUCAUUCAGGUAAGUGGCAGGCUUCCUGAAGUCUGUGCAGUAUCUGUUAGUAAGAGUGACUCGUGAUAACAAAUCUGCAGUGUGGAACAGAGCCAGAGAAGGAACUAGCUUAGUCCAGGCUAGCUUAGCAAAAUGGACUACACAGGGGAAAAUUGGAACAUGUGAGGAAUUAAGAUAGACUGUGGGGUUUUUGUUUAAAAAAAAAAAAAAAAAAAAAAAACAGAACCACUGACAGGUGUUGAGCUAAUCUUCAUUUCCUACUGCUUAAUUUGAAUUUCUUCUCUUCUCAGGCAUCUGUUAGGAACUCUGCGAUGAUGAUACCAGUCUGCCAUUACUAUAUUAAGGAGGUGUUUCUUCCAGAAUGUCACGAGGACUUGAGAACUGCUGAAUUCAGCCAGAUGAAAAGCCCACAUAACCUAGGAUCCCAUCUGAGUAACCUUCAGUGGCUAGGAGACUCUUUUGUUUAAUAGUUACUGCUGGACUGCUGAACAGAACUGCUGAAUUCAUGAAGUCAUGAAUUCUUUGAUUCACGUAUAGUUUGGGCCUUCAUGAUAUCUAAUGGAAAUGAAUUCAGUUUAUUAUUACCAGAAAAAUGUUCGUG